CCUACGGGAGGCAGCAGUGGGGGAUAUUGCACAAUGGGGGAAACCUUGAUGCAGCAACGCCGCGUGUGGGAAGAAGGUUUUCGGAUCGUAAACCACUGUUCUUGGUGAAGAUAAUGACGGUAACUAAGUAGAAAGCUCUGGCUAAUUACGUGCCAGCAGGCGCGGUAAUACGUAGGGGGCAAGCGUUGUCCGGAUUUACUGGGUGUAAAGGGUGCGUAGGCGGUCUUGCAAGUCUGACGUGAAAGCCACAGGCUCAACCUGUGGGCUGCGUUUGAAACUGUAGGGCUUGAGUGAAGUAGAGGUAGGCGGAAUUCCCGGUGUAGCGGUGAAAUGCGUAGAGAUCGGGAGGAACACCAGUGGCGAAGGCGACCUACUGGGCUUUAACUGACGCUGAGGCACGAAAGCAUGGGUAGCAAACAGGAUUAGAUACCCGGGUAGUC
rnacentral:rRNA from 1 species